CUCUGCAACUAUCAUAUGGUUGCCCAUUGAAGCUAAGCAGUGCCCAGUCAGUACCUGGAUGGGAGACCACAUGGGAAAGCUAGGUUGCUGCUGGAA
rnacentral:rRNA from 1 species